UGGGGAAUUUUGGACAAUGGGCGAAAGCCUGAUCCAGCCAUGCCGCGUGAGUGAAGAAGGCCUUCGGGUUGUAAAGCUCUUUUAGUCGGAAAGAAAGAGUUGCAAUGAAUAAUUGUGAUUUAUGACGGUACCGACAGAAAAAGCACCGGCUAACUACGUGCCAGCAGCCGCGGUAAUACGUAGGGUGCGAGCGUUAAUCAGAAUUACUGGGCGUAAAGGGUGCGCAGGCGGUCUUGCAAGUCAGAUGUGAAAGCCCCGGGCUUAACCUGGGAAUUGCGUUUGAAACUACCAGACUAGAGUGCAGGAGAGGGGAGUGGAAUUCCAUGUGUAGGAGUGAAAUGCGUAGAGAUGUGGAAGAACACCGAUGGCGAGGGCAGCUCCCUGGGUUGACACUGACGCUCAUGCACGAAAGCGUGGGGAGCAAACA
rnacentral:rRNA from 1 species